rfam:Neosartorya fischeri NRRL 181 1099437636249 genomic scaffold, whole genome shotgun sequence.
GGCAAGGUGGCCGAGUGGUUAAGGCGUCAGUUUUGAAUUUGAGCAAACUCAAUAGCUGAUUCCCUAGGGAUCGUCGGUUCGAAUCCGGCCCUUGUCG